rnacentral:rRNA from 1 species
UACAGAGGGGGCAAGCGUUGUUCGGAAUUACUGGGCGUAAAGGGCUCGUAGGUGGCCAACUAAGUCAGACGUGAAAUCCCUAGGCUUAACCGGGGAACUGCGUCUGAUACUGGAUGGCUUGAGUUUGGGAGAGGGAUGCGGAAUUCCAGGUGUAGCGGUGAAAUGCGUAGAUAUCUGGAGGAACACCGGUGGCGAAGGCGGCAGCCUGGACCAACACUGACACUGAGGAGCGAAAGCCAGGGGAGCAAACGGG